rnacentral:rRNA from 1 species
UACGUAGGGUGCGAGCGUUAAUCGGAAUUACUGGGCGUAAAGCGUGCGCAGGCGGUUCGUUGUGUCGGCGGUGAAAGCCCCGGGCUUAACCUGGGAAUGGCCGUUGAAACUGGCGAACUGGAGUGUGGCAGAGGGGGGUGGAAUUCCGCGUGUAGCAGUGAAAUGCGUAGAGAUGUGGAGGAACACCGAUGGCGAAGGCAGCCUCCUGGGCCAAUACUGACGCUCAUGCACGAAAGCGUGGGGAGCAAACAGG